rnacentral:rRNA from 1 species
AGCGAACGCUGGCGGCAGGCCUAAUACAUGCAAGUCGAACGGUCUCUUCGGAGGCAGUGGCGGACGGGUGAGUAACGCGUGGGAAUAUGCCCUUUGGUACGGAACAACUGAGGGAAACUUCAGCUAAUACCGUAUGUGCCCUUCGGGGGAAAGAUUUAUCGCCAUUGGAGUAGCCCGCGUUGGAUUAGGUAGUUGGUGGGGUAAAGGCCUACCAAGCCUACGAUCCAUAGCUGGUCUGAGAGGAUGAUCAGCCACACUGGGACUGAGACACGGCCCAGACUCCUACGGGAGGCAGCAGUAGGGAAUCUUGCGCAAUGGGCGAAAGCCUGACGCAG